GACGAACCGUGCGAACGUCGUUCGGAAUCACUGGGCUUAAAGGGCGCGUAGGCGGAUCAUCAAGUCCGGGGUGAAAUCUUUACGGCUUAACCGGAAAAGUGCCUUGGAUACUGGUGGUCGUCGAGUGAGGUAGGGGCAGUGUGGAAGCUUCUGGUGGAGCGGUGAAAUGCGUUGAUAUCAGAAGGAACUGACCGGUGGCGAAAGCGACGUGCUGGACCUCUUCUGACGCUGAGGCGCGAAAGCUAGGGGAGCGAACGGG
rnacentral:rRNA from 1 species